UAAUACGGGAGGCAGCAGUGGGGAAUAUUGCACAAUGGGCGCAAGCCUGAUGCAGCCAUGCCGCGUGUAUGAAGAAGGCCUUCGGGUUGUAAAGUACUUUCAGCAGUGAGGAAGGUGGGUAUGUUAAUAGCAUACUCAUUUGACGUUAGCUGCAGAAGAAGCACCGGCUAACUCCGUGCCAGCAGCCGCGGUAAUACGGAGGGUGCGAGCGUUAAUCGGAAUUACUGGGCGUAAAGCGCAUGCAGGUGGAUGAUUAAGUCAGAUGUGAAAGCCCGGGGCUCAACCUCGGAAUAGCAUUUGAAACUGGUCAUCUAGAGUACUGUAGAGGGGGGUAGAAUUUCAGGUGUAGCGGUGAAAUGCGUAGAGAUCUGAAGGAAUACCGGUGGCGAAGGCGGCCCCCUGGACAGAUACUGACACUCAGAUGCGAAAGCGUGGGGAGCAAACAGGAUUAGAUACCCUGGUAGUCCACGCCGUAAACGAUGUCUACUUGGAGGUUGUGGCCUUGAGCCGUGGCUUUCGGAGCUAACGC
rnacentral:rRNA from 1 species